CCACCCCAGCUGCUCAACGCGAUUUCCCUUCGCGCUUCUCCGCACCGGGAUCCCCAGUCCCUCAGGUUCCGACAGACCCUCCUGUCAGGCCCAUUCUCCGGGCCCCCUCAGUUGCAGUGUUAAGAUCAACAGUGUUAAGAUUAAAGCCUUGUGAUGUGCUAGCCACUACGCUGAGGAUAUGCCGUGUACUAAAAUUCCUCAGGACUCCUCACAGCUGCCCUGUAAGGAAGCGGCCAUGGCCGGGUUCUAGCGAUGCGAGGCCGAGGCUCGGGGCGCUGAGUAGCCUAGCGCGUCGCCGAGGAGAGCUGGCACGUGAACCCCUUGUCGUUUGCCGUCAGAGGUGUUAUGUGGUGGCCCUCAUUCUCCAUGCAUGGAGCAGACUCUAGGAUCUGCAGUUACUGUAUGAUGAGCCCUUCUGAGUAUUUUGCUUGGGUGGACAGUUUAUGUGUCAGGUAUGUGUAUUUAUAAUUAAAAUCAAAUAUUAUUACAUAGGCUUUGCACCUGGCGAGGUAACAUUGAGAGUAGUUAAUCUCUAGACUGGAAUCCAUCUGGAAGACCACUCAAUAACUUGUGAUUAGCUGGACCUGGUGAUGCAAGCCUGGAGUCCCAGUUACCCGGAGGCUGAGGUGGGAAUAUCGCUUGAGACCAGGAGUUUGAGGCUACAGUGAGCUGUGAUUGUACCACUGCACUCCAGCCUGGGUGACAGUGCAAGACCUCAUCUCUUAAAAAAAACAAACAACUCAAAAAACCUCAUCAUUGAGCACCUAUGAUGUGCCAGCAACUGUACUCAGUGGUGGGGACUUGACGACAAACAAACCAGGGAUGGGAUCCUUGAGCAGUCACCAUCUGACAAGUGACUGGGAAAGAUGAAUAAUGCCCUUCACCAAGAUUCUUCUCUGAUCCACAAAUUCAAUUACCAAUUUAUUUGUUCACUGCUCUUAAACUUAAAUAUUUUUUAGUAGGUAAUAAAGACAUGUUUA
rnacentral:lncRNA from 1 species